UACCAGACUCCUACGGGAGGCAGCAGUGGGGGAUAUUGCACAAUGGGGGGAACCCUGAUGCAGCGACGCCGCGUGGGUGAAGAAGCGCCUCGGCGCGUAAAGCCCUGUCAGCAGGGAAGAAGAUGACGGUACCUGAAGAAGAAGCCCCGGCUAACUACGUGCCAGCAGCCGCGGUAAUACGUAGGGGGCAAGCGUUAUCCGGAUUUACUGGGUGUAAAGGGAGCGUAGACGGCCAUGCAAGCCAGGGGUGAAAGCCCGGGGCCCAACCCCGGGACUGCCCUUGGAACUGCAUGGCUGGAGUGCGGGAGGGGCAGGCGGAAUUCCUAGUGUAGCGGUGAAAUGCGUAGAUAUUAGGAGGAACACCAGUGGCGAAGGCGGUCUGCUGGACAGCAACUGACGCUGAGGCGCGAAGGCGUGGGGAGCAAACAGGAUUAGAUACCCCAGUACC
rnacentral:rRNA from 1 species